rnacentral:misc_RNA from 1 species
UUGAAGACCAUCAUCAUUUUGUAAUUUCUGUAUGAUAAAUCACACCUGUCAUUUUGAGAGCCAAUAGAUAAUAAGAAACAACGUACAAGCAGCAAUGACAGUGGACAGAAUAAUGGUGUCUCUUGAUCUCCGUCUCCUGAUAGAACCAAGCAGGCCACGGAUAAUAGGAAACGUGUCACUUAGAAGCUUCACUUUUCCUUGAACAUCUCCAAACAAAGCCCUUUGAGAACCUAAGACAGCUCUUGUUGUUUGAGCUUGA